rnacentral:rRNA from 1 species
GACAGAGGGUGCAAGUGUUAAUCGGAAUGACUGGGCGUAAAGGGCGCGUAGGUGGUUAUUUAGGUUUGGCGUGAAAGCCCCCGACUCAAUCGGGGAAGCGCGUCAAAUACCGGAUAGCUAGAGUGAGAGAGAGGGUUGUGGAAUUUCCGGUGUAGCGGUGAAAUGCGUAGAUAUCGGAAGGAACACCAGCGGCGAAGGCGGCAACCUGGCUCUUUACUGACACUGAGGCGCGAAGGCGUGGGGAGCAAACAGG